AACGAACGCUGGCGGCAGGCCUAACACAUGCAAGUCGAGCGCCCCAGCAAUGGGGAGCGGCAGACGGGUGAGUAACGCGUGGGUAUCUACCUAGUGGUGCGGAAUAGCCCAGGGAAACUUGGAGUAAUACCGCAUAAGCCCGAAAGGAGAAAGAUUUAUCGCCAUUAGAUGAGCCCGCGUUUGGAUUAGCUAGUUGGUGGGGUAACGGCCCACCAAGGCGACGAUCCAUAGCUGGUCUGAGAGGAUGAUCAGCCACACUGGGACUGAGACACGGCCCAGACUCCUACGGGAGGCAGCAGUGGGAAUAUUGGACAAUGGGGAAACCCUGAUCCAGCAAUGCCGCGUGUGUGAAGAA
rnacentral:rRNA from 1 species